GUGCUAGCUUCAUCAGCACAUACACUAAAGUUGAAAGGAUGCAGAGAAGAUUAGCAUGGUCCCUGAGCAGGGAUGGCAUGCAAAUUCGUGAAGUGUUCCAUAUUUAA